rnacentral:rRNA from 1 species
CCUACGGUGGGCAGCAGUGAGGAAUAUUGGACAAUGGGCGGAAGCCUGAACCAGCCAAGUAGCGUGCGGGAUGAAGGCCCUACGGGUCGUAAACCGCUUUUGCACGGGGAUAACACCCUCCACUUGUGGAGGUGUGCAUGUACCGUACGAAUAAGGGCCGGUUAAUUCCGUGCCAGCAGCGGCGGUAAUACGGAGGGCCCGAGAGUUCUCCGGAUUCAUUGGGCUUAAAGGGAGCGUAGGCGGGCGUUAAAGUCAGCUUGAAAAUCGCGCGGCUCAACCGCGCCCCGCAGUUGAAACUGGACGCCUUGAGUUCACAACAGGCAGGCGGAAUUCGUGGUGUAGCGGUGAAAUGCAUAGAUAUCACGAGGAACCCCGAUUGCGAAGGCAGCCUGCCGGGGUGCGACUGACGCUGAGGCUCGAAGGUGCGGGUAUCAAACAGGAUUAGAUACCCUAGUAGUC